rnacentral:rRNA from 1 species
UACGUAGGGUGCGAGCGUUAAUCGGAAUUACUGGGCGUAAAGCGUGCGCAGGCGGUUUUGUAAGCCAGAUGUGAAAUCCCCGGGCUUAACCUGGGAAUUGCGUUGGAGACUGCAAGGCUGGAGUCUGGCAGAGGGGGGUAGAAUUCCACGUGUAGCAGUGAAAUGCGUAGAGAUGUGGAGGAACACCGAUGGCGAAGGCAGCCCCCUGGGUCAAGACUGACGCUCAUGCACGAAAGCGUGGGGAGCAAACAGG